UGUAGGGUUUUAACUCUUUGCUAUUCCAUUCCCCUUCUGAGAGGGGGAAAAAGGCAGGUGUGUGAAAGGGGCACGCUUUGAUUUCCAUCUCUUAUUUUUAAUUACAUUUUAAUUGAAUUAAUUUUUAAUUUUAUUUUAUUUUGAGCAGCAUUUUAAGAGCUUUUACCUCACAGAAUGAAAAGAGUGGGAUGAUGAAGCAUGAGGGGGAUUUUUAAUUUAAAAAAAACCGCCUGAGGAGGAGAUUUUGAGGCACUGGAAGGGUUUGGAAUAACUCUGUGAGGGAUACCUACGGACGAAUGGCAGUCAUGACUGGUGGGAGAAGAACUAUGAAAACCCAAGGGACAAAGAAAGCAGUGCAACCAGACCUGAGCUUCAGGGCUUCUCUGGAGCUCUUUCCUCGUGUCCCAGAGGAGCAGCCGAGCGAGGAAGGAAACCAGGCCGGCCUUCUUGAUAAGGGGCUUACGUUGGCCCAGCGCCAGGUCCAGGGUGCCAGUUCCUGCCAGAUUACGAGGUUUGGGGAACACCUUGUGAGAUGAAGUUGGAUGCCGUACCUGUCCUGAUAAACAACAAC